AAGUCGUAACAAGGUUUCCGUAGGUGAACCUGCGGAAGGAUCAUUACAAAACAAAAUCCAAAUCACACCAAAUGUGCUCUAUAAAUGCAGAGAGUCUGCAGAAAUUCAUGUAUUUGUGUGUGUGGUGUGUGUGUGUGUGUGUGAGUGUAUAUGCUGUUUGUUAUGUUUGUGUUUGUGAGAGAGAAAUUAACCUUUUUCUCACACACUCACACACAUAUACAUACACAUACACACACACAUGCAUACACACACACACACACACACAAGCAUAUACAUAUUUUUCACUACAUGCUGGCUCUCUUGCAUUGUCUUUGUUUAUCAAUUUUUUCAUUAACUCCUUGUUUAACCAACAACGGAUUACAAUGUUAAAACUUGAAACAAAAAAACAAAACAAAAUGACAACUUUUAACGGUGGAUCUCUUGGCUCGU
rnacentral:misc_RNA from 1 species